GGAUUAGGCAUGCAAGUCGCACGAGAAAGGUUUCUUCGGAAGCCGAGUAAAGUGGCGAACGGGUGAGUAAUGCAUAGACAACUCGCCCUUGAGAUGGGGACAACGCCUCGAAAGGGGUGCUAAUACCCAAUGCCGCCUUGGGCCUGCGGGUCCAGGGUGAAAGGAGGCCUCUGAUUCAAGCUUCCGCUCAAGGAGAGGUUUAUGUCCUAUUAGCUAGUUGGCGGGGUAACGGCCCACCAAGGCUGCGAUGGGUAGCCGACCUGAGAGGGUGACCGGCCACAUUGGGACUGAGACACUGCCCAGACUCCUACGGGAGGCUGCAGUCGAGAAUCUUCCGCAAUGCGCGCAAGCGUGACGGAGCGACGCCGCGUGGGUGAUGAAGGCCUUCGGGUUGUAAAACCCUGUCAGCUACUACGAAACACGGGCGAUGAACAAUCGUCCCGUCUGACUUAAGUAGCAGAGGAAGCACCGGCUAACUACGUGCCAGCAGCCGCGGUAAUACGUAGGGUGCAAACGUUGUUCGGAAUCACUGGGCAUAAAGGGCGCGUAGGCGGUCUGAUAAGUCAGGUGUGAAAUCCCUCGGCCUAACCGAGGAACUGCAUUUGAUACUGUCGGGCUAGAGUACAGGAGGGGAGAGUGGAAUUCCUGGUGGAGCGGUGAAAUGCGUAGAUAUCAGGAGGAACGCCGGCGGCGAAAGCGACUCUCUGGCCUGUUACUGACGCUGAGGCGCGAAAGCUAGGGGAGCAAACGGGAUUAGAUACCCCGGUAGUCCUAGCCCUAAACGAUGGGCACUAAGUAGAGGGGUUUU
rnacentral:rRNA from 1 species